GGGGGGGGGGGGGGGGGGGGGGGGGGGGGGGGGGGGGGGGGGGGGGGGGGGGGUGGCGGGUGGAGGCGGCGGGGGGCGGGGGAGGAGUGCCUGGGAGUCUGCCUGGUAGUGGGGGAUAACGUCCGGGAACGGGCGCUAAUACCGCAUACGUCCUGAGGGAGAAAGUGGGGGAUCUUCGGACCUCACGCUAUCAGAUGAGCCUCGGUCGGAUUAGCUAGUUGGUGGGGUAAAGGCCUACCAAGGCGACGAUCCGUAACUGGGCUGAGAGGAUGAUCAGUCACACUGGAACUGAGACACGGUCCAGACUCCUACGGGAGGCAGCAGUGGGGAAUAUUGGACAAUGGGCGAAAGCCUGAUCCAGCCAUGCCGCGUGUGUGAAGAAGGUCUUCGGAUUGUAAAGCACUUUAAGUUGGGAGGAAGGGCAGUAAGUUAAUACCUUGCUGUUUUGACGUUACCAACAGAAUAAGCACCGGCUAACUUCGUG
rnacentral:rRNA from 1 species